CACGCUGUAAACUAUGAAUGCUAGGCGUUUGAUACAACUAUUUUUUCCUUCGGGAAAUAAUGGAAGUAUUGAGUGCCGCAGUUAACACGUUAAGCAUUCCGCCUGGGAAGUACGGCCGCAAGGCUAAAACUCAAAUGAAUUGGCGGGGACCCGCACAAGCGGAGGAGCGCGUGGUUUAAUUCGACGGCAAUCGAAGAACCUUACCAGGGUUUGAAAUGUAUCUGCAUGUCUUAUGAAAGUAGGGCAGCCUUAGAGGGUGAUACACAGGUGC
rnacentral:rRNA from 1 species